rnacentral:rRNA from 1 species
GAGCACGUAGGUGGGUUUGUAAGUCGGUUGUGAAAGCCUUCUGCUUAACGGAAGAACAGCAGUCGAUACUGCAUGGCUUGAGUGCGGGAGGGGAGAGCGGAACUUCUGGUGGAGCGGUGAAAUGCGUAGAUAUCAGAAGGAACGUCGGCGGCGAAAGCGGCUCUCUGGCCCGUAACUUACGCUGAGUGUGCGAAAGCUAGGGGAGCAAACGGGAUUAGAUACCCCGGUAGUCCUAGCCGUAAACGAUGGGCACUAAGUAGAGGGGUUUU